GGCGUUGUAGCUCAGUUGGGAGAGCAGCAGACUGAAGUCAUGAAACGUUGCCGCAAUUCAUCUGAAGGUCCGGUGUUCAAGCCACCGCAAUGCCA